rnacentral:rRNA from 1 species
UACAUAUCAAUAAGCGGAGGAAAAGAAACCAACAGGGAUUGCCUCAGUAACGGCGAGUGAAGCGGCAACAGCUCAAAUUUGAAAUCUGGCCCUUUCAGGGUCCGAGUUGUAAUUUGCAGAGGGUGCUUUGGUGUCGGCCGUGGUCUAAGUUCCUUGGAACAGGACGUCACAGAGGGUGAGAAUCCCGUACGUGGCCGCCGGUCUUCACCGUGUAAAGCCCCUUCGACGAGUCGAGUUGUUUGGGAAUGCAGCUCUAAAUGGGAGAUACAUUUCUUCUAAAGCUAAAUAUUGGCCAGAGACCGAUAGCGCACAAGUAGAGUGAUCGAAAGAUGAAAAGCACUUUGGAAAGAGAGUCAAAAAGCACGUGAAAUUGUUGAAAGGGAAGCGCUUGCAGCCAGACGUGCCCGCAGUUGCUCACCUGGGCUCUCGCCCGGGGCAUUCUUCUGCGGGCAGGCCAGCAUCAGUUCGGGCGGUUGGAUAAAGGCCUCUAUCACGUAUCUUCCUUCGGGAUGACCUUAUAGGGGAGGCGCAACACGACCAGCCUGAACUGAGGACCGCGCAUCAGCUAGGAUGCUGGCGUAAUGGCUGUAAGCGGCCCGUCUUGAAACACGGACCAAGGAGUCUAACAUCUAUGCGAGUGUUUGGGUGUAAAGCCCGGGCGCGCAAUGAAAGUGAACGGAGGUGGGAACCCCUCGGGGUGCACCAUCGACCGAUCCUGAAGUCUUCGGAUGGAUUUGAGUAAGAGCAUAGCUGUUGGGACCCGAAAGAUGGUGAACUAUGCCUGAAUAGGGUGAAGCCAGGGGAAACCCUGGUGGAGGCUCGCAGCGGUUCUGACGUGCAAAUCGAUCGUCAAAUUUGGGCAUAGGGGCGAAAGACUAAUCGAACCAUCUAAUAGCUGGUUCCUGC